rnacentral:rRNA from 1 species
ACGGGUGAGUAACACGUAUGCAAUCCACCUGUAACAGGGGGAUAACCCGGAGAAAUCCGGACUAAUACCCCAUAAUAUGGGCGCUCCGCAUGGAGAGCCCAUUAAAGAGAGCAAUUUUGGUUACAGAUGAGCAUGCGCUCCAUUAGCCAGUUGGCGGGGUAACGGCCCACCAAAGCGACGAUGGAUAGGGGUUCUGAGAGGAAGGUCCCCCACAUUGGAACUGAGACACGGUCCAA